rnacentral:rRNA from 1 species
UGUCCUACGGGGCGCAGCAGUGGGGAAUAUUGCACAAUGGGGGAAACCCUGAUGCAGCAACGCCGCGUGAGUGAGGAAGUAUUUCGGUAUGUAAAGCUCUAUCAGCAGGGAAUAGAAAAGAAGGUACCUGAAAAAGAAGCCCCGGCUAACUACGUGCCAGCAGCCGCGGUAAUACGUAGGGGGCAAGCGUUAUCCGGAUUUACUGGGUGUAAAGGGAGCGUAGACGGUCCUGCAAGCCAGAUGUGAAAGCCCGGGGCUCAACCCCGAGACUGCAUUUGGAACUGUAAGG